CAGCAGCCGCGGUAAUACGUAGGUGGCAAGCGUUGUCCGGAAUUGUUGGGCGUAAAGGGCUCGCAAGCGGUUUCUUAAGUCUGAUGUGAAAGCCCCCGGCUCAACCGGGGAGGGUCAUAGGAAACUGGGAAACUUGAGUGCAGAAGAGGAGAGUGGAAUUCCGCGUGUAGCGGUGAAAUGCGUAGAGAUGUGGAGGAACACCAGUGGCGAAGGCGACUCUCUGGUCUGUAACUGACGCUGAGGAGCGAAAGCGUGGGGAGCGAACAGGAUUAGAUACCCCCGUAGUCCCUGUCUCUUAUAC
rnacentral:rRNA from 1 species